AUCUGUAUAAGAGACAGAGAGUGUUCGUCGGGGUAACCCAAAAUGACUGGAGACGCCGUCGGGAGAUCCGGGAAGAGUUUUCUUUUCUGUAUAAGCGUUCGAG